UUCUCACCCUCACUGAGUUGUCCUGACUCGAUGUCGCUAAGAUGAACUCGUUGUCCGGAUGCCAGUCGAGGCCGUGGAUCUUCGACAGAUCCGCACGUCUCCAUCGUGACUGGACGCCAGCAGAUACUGGUUCUUCCUGUUCCACUUCACCUGAGACGCUCCGGCUGACAGGAAACAAACACACUGCAGCUGCGGUGCGUUCAGGUGAACUGAACUUACCCGGACAGCACGGCGUGUGAGCCCAGGCAGUCCACGGACAUGGCGGUGG